AUGCCAGAAGUGUUUUAAAUUAAUAAUAUUAAAUUAAAACGAUACCGUGCUACCGACGACCAUUAGUAAUAAUUAGGACUUUAUUGUUAUGAGUACAACUUGUACAAGCGGUAAGUACAACAUGUCUGUUAACUUCACAGCUAUCCGCAAAAACGUUAUCAGUAGGCAGUGUUGGUUAGUAACGCAACGCAGAUUACAAAUUUCUGUAACGAAAUUACUCUUUCAAUAACGGUGCAGUAAUGUUCCAUUACAUUUUAUUUGAAUUAACGCAAUUGUGUAACUAUAUACUUGAAAAGUAACUUCCACGGCGUAAGGCAUUACUUACGUCAUUAAAAUAUGUUGUCAACGACAAAACUCCAAAACCUAGACGCUAGGAUCACAGGACAAAGAAUAAUACUACUAUAUUACUACUAUUAUAACAUUACUCUUUUCACUACGCUAAGGUAUUCGAAAAAAAGGGAAAAAAAUCAAUUGAAUUAACUAUCGAUUCCGAAUUUUUUUUGAAAAUACUCAACAAUAUUAUUGAAUACCUCAGGAAUUUAUGUUAUUAGCGGAAAAUAAAAGACUUGAGAUUUAAAAAUAAAAUUGAAUUAUGAUUUAAGACUAAAAUAAUAAUUAAUGUCAUUGAUAUGAUUAUUUGACAUAUUUUAUAACUGAUAUACCUUCCUCAACGGUACCUCACCAACCACCAUGCAGAAUCAUCAAACAAUGAAAUCAUAGCUUAUGUCAAAAAAAUAAGAAAACAAGGUCAAAGAGAGUAUCUACAGCGUAAAAAAAUAAUAAGAAAAAAUGUGUCGUUCAACAAAUGCAUCAAAUCCUGACUAUCAACAAAGAGUUGAAAGAAAAUCCCAUGUAUAACGUCAAAAAGAAUACGUACUGCACUAAAACAUUUGCCAAGUGAAUCACAGGACUCCCUUUUGACAAUUUACAAAGUGAAAAAAAUUUGCGUAAAUGCAAAAAGUAUCGAGCUACAAGGAAUGGAAAAACUUUUGAAGAAGAUGAUUAUUUUUCUACGUAAGAAAUAUUAGUAGAAGUGUUCACUUUUGUCAACCGUCCCAAGACAUUGGUGGCAUUUCGGUAUUUGAAUUCCUCUUCAUCAGAAAAUGUUUGAUUUACACUACUUUACUGCCUGCUGAAUGCUGAUUUUAGUAAGUCUUGGACAAUUUAUUAUUUUGUGUUUCUCGAUUUGUUGAAUUGUUCAAACAUCUUUAAAAUUAACAAAAUCCUAAAUAUGCUGUAAAAUUUUAAAAAAAUUCUAUAAUAUGCACUAAAAAUACAAAAAUUCCUAAAUAAUUUCAACAGAACCAAUAUUCUGUGGUUACUUGCAACUUCUGAAAAUAUCAUAGGGUCGCAAGAGUAUCUUUAUGCGACUCCAAAAAUCCCAAUUUUAGUUUUCAAAAAAAUGUAAUAUCAAUAUAAUAAUAAAUUAACUAAUUUAUAUUUUAAGAACCAAUGUUUAACUUUGUUUUAAAGCACUGGAAUUGUUAUAAUAUUAUAUCCUUUCCACAUUUAUUUAUAGUUUUGUUACUAACCAUUUUCUAUUAUUAUACCAAUAUGUAUAUUUAUAUUUUAUUAUGAUCAGCCGACUCGAGUUCCAAGUCAAGUCUCAAUUGCAGCUGAUAAUGAAAACGUCUUUCAUAAUUUAAAAUUAUUAUUUGUUUUAUACAUUCAUUUAUUUUUGACACUUGUAUUUAUUUCUUAUCCG